UCGAAUACAUCAGUAGCGAAGCUCCCUGCGCGAAAGAAAUUGAAGCGAAUGUAUCGAAAUAUUCGUGACAUAAAUGGCGAUUAAAAUGUCUGAAACUAGAAAUAAUCAUGCGUCAAACGUGUGUCGGUUGUUCGCAAGGUGUCAUUAAGUGUACAUGCACGUGUGAUCCUGCGUCCACGUCGCGAGAUAUACGUAUAGUAAAAGCAACCGGAUCUGGAUUUCCGAGUUUCCGUGAUGGAUUGCCCGGACAAGCUGGUAACUCUGAUAUCGAUUUAUUAUUCAAGAGCUGCUGAAACAAAUCACCCCCUGUGUCUAUACGUGUAUCGUGCGCGCGACUGUAUGAUCUCUGUGGCAGUCGAGCUACGAGGCUCUUCAUGUUUCCCGCUUUAUAUUAUACACCACUGUGAGCACUCUAUAUGACUGUGUAAAUGUAUAGAAUGAUAAAUACACGAACAUUUAUUGGCCGAAUAAAAUGAUGUCUGUAUAUAA